GGAUUGGGACUCAGUGGUAGAGCGCUUGCCUAGCAUGCAUGAGGCACUGGGUUCAAUCCUCAGCACCA
rnacentral:tRNA from 1 species